rnacentral:rRNA from 1 species
UACGAAGGGGGGCUAGCGUUGUUCGGAUUUACUGGGCGUAAAGCGCACGUAGGCGGAUUGUUAAGUCAGGGGGUGAAAUCCUGGAGCUCAACUCCAGAACUGCCUUUGAUACUGGCAAUCUAGAGUCCGGAAGAGGUGAGUGGAACUCCUAGUGUAGAGGUGGAAUUCGUAGAUAUUAGGAAGAACACCAGUGGCGAAGGCGGCUCACUGGUCCGGUACUGACGCUGAGGUGCGAAAGCGUGGGGAGCAAACAGG